rnacentral:rRNA from 1 species
AACGAACGCUGGCGGCAGGCCUAACACAUGCAAGUCGAACGCCGUAGCAAUACGGAGUGGCAGACGGGUGAGUAACGCGUGGGAACAUACCCCUCGGUUCGGAAUAACUCAGGGAAACUUGAGCUAAUACCGGAUAAGUCCGAGGUUUUAAUCGACCUUGGAGAAAGAUUUAUCGCCGGAGGAUUGGCCCGCGUCUGAUUAGCUUGUUGGUGAGGUAAUGGCUCACCAAGGCGACGAUCAGAGCUGGUCUGAGAGGAUGAUCAGCCACAUUGGGACUGAGACACGGCCCAAACUCCUACGGGAGGCAGCAGUGGGGGAAUAUUGGACAAUGGGCGAAAGCCUGAUCCAGCCAUGCCGCGUGAGUGAUGAAGGCCUUAGGGUUGUAAAGCUCUUUUACCCGGGGAAGAUAAUGACGGUACCGGGAGAAUAAGCCCCGGCUAACUUCGUGCCAGCCGCCGC